GGUCCAGUAGCCAAGUGGUAAGGCAAGGGUCUGCAAAACCCUUAUACGGGGGUUCGAUUCCCCCCUGGACCUCAA
rnacentral:tRNA from 1 species